UUCUGAUUAAAGAGGAGUUCAGACGAAUUACAACAGUUCAUCUGGAGAGAACCUUUCUGACUAAGCUGGAUCUCUACACCCCAAAACUGCUAGAGAUAUUUAGCAAAAAAGGCAGGGUUCCUGGCACUAAAAUAAGAUUAGUGCUCAAUUCACUCAGUCAGCAACAUGUUGAAUCUAGACGGGAGACCAUAAUUCGCUGCAUGAUGGAAUUUCUUGGCGAGUCUGCAGAGGAACUUAUUAAGGACUACAUGAAUGUCAGCAGGGAAGAAGCCAAUGGUGACCAGGUCGAGCAAGUCAUGAAGAUCUGUGUCUUCUAUGUAAGUGAGGGACAUGAAGGCCUGUCACAUGCUGAUGUUUCCAUUGUCGUCGAGGGAACUGAGGUACUUCACAGUUGUCCAAGUGUUGCGAAGGCCAGCCUCCUGCUUGUGGGGAUCAUCUACGCACUGAACUUAAGUUAGCCAUCAAAACUGAAGUACACGUUUGAAGUAUUUCAGAAGCUCUUCCUUGAGCUAGAUGUCCUGAAACUGUCACCCAAAGUCCAGUCCCUACGGAAAAAACGCCAGUGUAACUGAACAUGUUUAUGAGAGAGUCAUUGUUUAUUUGGAAUGCAGGUUCAGUUUUAUAGUUUUGGUUUAUUGUUUUGCUGAAGAGACUGCCACUAGGUUUGUGUUGGUGUCAUCUAAAGUGCAUUCCUAGAAAAAAGAAAAAGGGCACUUAGGGUGUAUGGAUGUUUAUAUUUUCUGCAUUUUGCACUGUUUUAAACUAUCUAGCAUCUAUCUAACAUUAGUAUUACCACAGGCUGUUGGGCCAAAAGAAAGUGUGUCAAUUGUUAUUUGUCAUAUUUUUUUUCUUUUAAAUUCUUAUGUGAGUUUAGGACAAAAAAGGCAUAGAACUUUAGAUUUGAAUGCACUGAAGUUGUCAUUUUGUUUCUUGUUAAACAAAAUGUAAAAGAAUGGUUCAAAAACUGGUUUUAGUAUUAAAGGGUCCUGUUUAGCAUGUUUGUGUUAAAGUGCUCUUACUUAAAGUAAUUCUCUCAGGGACAAAUAAUUUACUAUUUUGUUCAUGAAGGAUUGUUGGAAAAUGUAUUUUUGCAGAUAUGCACGUGUUUAAAAUAAAACAUACAAAUGUGUUUAAACAGAA